CAUCUUGCUUGGCCUUCUUUCUUCUGUCUUCCCUCUGAAAGCAGAUUCAUCAGUCACAAGUGCUUUGGAGGUGCCUAUGACUUUAGGAGUAAUUCUGUGACUUUGUGUGGUCUCUUGUUUCUUUUCAGAAAAGUGCAUGUUACUUUCUCCUGCUCCCUGGUGAGUCUCACUGUAUAUCUCUGUGAUGCAUAAGUCUCCAUGGGGUAUCUCUUUGGCUGUAUUAAUCUGCAGCGUAGUGCUCUCCCUAUAGUCCUCAUUUUUUAUGUUAUCAUGCUUUCCAUUUUCUUUUUCAGCGCUGAAAGUUUCAUUUAUUCCACUGGAGGAUCUCUUGAUAAGCAUCUGCAGGACAUCAGUCAAGCUCUCCAUCAGAACGAUAACUUCAGCAUAGGUCAAGUCUCCACAGGGUUU
rnacentral:lncRNA from 1 species